AACAUAUUUCAAAUACGCACCCGAUAAACCAUUUAUCACUAUCUCGUCUAUGUUUUUUGUUGAUUAUUUUUUGAUGGCGAGCAUUUUUAAGAUUUUUAUCAUUUGUACACUUUGUAAAUCGAACGGAGGUCAGCAUUAAGAUAAAUUUUGGUGUUUUAUUAAAUCAACAAUAAUACGUGUGAAAAGUAAUACAACCAUGGAGGAAGGCCAUUCAGGUAACAUCAGUCGUAUGAAUUUAUGUAAACGUUUUCUUAAGAAUGGAUUCAAUGGAAAAUCGGAAGCUGAAAUUUUGGAAGAAAUUACCCUAUAUCUAACAAAUUAUUGUGAUAUUUAGAACACGGAGCAAGAAUCCGCUAAGAAAAUACUCAAAUCAUUCAUUCAAAAAUGGACCAAAAGAUGGAGAGAUUCAUCUUAUUCUUGGCAAAAAUUUAGUUUGAAAAAUGCUGAUUGGUUAGAAAAAAAUGUAUUCAGUGACGUAGCUAUAGACGAAAAUUCGCAAUGCACUGGGGAAUCGGAACCCGGUCCAUCAAAAAGAAAAUGUUUUUCCGAUUUAUCCAAAUCUCAAAAAGACAGAACUACGAAAGACGUCAGAGAUAAUUAUACUUCAGACAUCCUUGCUUACGCAACCGUUUCUGUUCUUAAAAAGGAACAUAAACAUGAUGUUGCUAAAGCAGUUUCAGCCGCUAUUUCUUCUCCGGAUGAAGUGUUGGCUGCUUUGAAACAAAAUAUUCCCAAAAAAUUUACGCCUAAUGAAGCCAUCGCUUUAUUUAUAAUCAACAGCAAGCAAACAAAGGCACAGUACCAAAACAUGCGGUCAGCUACACUUUGGAAAGGUACGGAUCUGUACCCUUCAUACCAGGAGAUACUUAAAUAUAAAAAGUUGAGCUAUCCUGUUUUAAAUCCUGAUGAUUUUACUGAAACUGAAGCCAAAGUGACUCUUCAGAAUUUAGUUGAUACCACAGUAGAACGAAUUUUAAUUAAUAUUGCUGAUCUGAAUAGUACAUGUGAUAUUAUUGCCACACAUAAAUGGGGUAUGGAUGGAAGCAGUGGUCAUUCGGAAUUUAAGCAACGAUUUAUGGAUCCAAAAAAUUCCGAUUCUACUGUAUUUUGUACUAACUUGGUGCCUAUUUCAUUAACAUAUAGAGAUGAUUCUCAGAAAGAUGUUAUUUGGAGAAAUGAAAAUCCAAAUUCUUCAAGGUAUGAUUAAAAAUACUGAAGAAAAAGGGUAUGAAGAUUGGAAACCUGAAAUUUAUGAGCCUUUUUUCCUACCAACUACAUCAAUAUGUUACUACAUAUCAAAUUUUAUCUAAAUU